UAUUGGACAAUGGGCGCAAGCCUGAUCCAGCAAUGCCGCGUGUGUGAUGAAGGCCUGAGGGUUGUAAAGCACUUUUAGUGGGGAGGAAGGAAUUAUUUCGAAUAGAGAUGAUUUUUGACGUUACCCGCAGAAAAAGCACCGGCUAACUCUGUGCCAGCAGCCGCGGUAAUACAGAGGGUGCAAGCGUUAAUCGGAGUGACUGGGCGUAAAGGGCGUGUAGGUGGAUGGAUAAGUUAUGUGUGAAAUAUCCGGGCUUAACCUGGAGGGGUCAUGUAAUACUGUCUGUCUAGAGUAGAGCAGAGGGAAGUAGAAUUUCCGGUGUAGCGGUGAAAUGCGUAGAGAUCGGAAGGAAUACCAGUGGCGAAGGCGGCUUCCUGGGCUCAUACUGACACUGAGGCGCGAAAGCGUGGGUAGCGAAC
rnacentral:rRNA from 1 species